CAGAGAGGGAGAAAUCACACGGCUGCUCUUCAAAAGGGAAACCUGUGUACAGCAGCCGGCAAAGUGCGUGGGAUCAUACUCAGAAUGCAGGUUGACUACUCCUACUUUCAAACAGCAGGCGAACACUUCAACUCUUACAGUACACAUCUAAACAGCACAGACCAGUACACAUCUAAACAGCACAGACCAGGACACCCAGGUGAACUGCUGCAGUCAGUCUUCCCACCUGUUGCCAUUUUGAAUAAUGUAGGCCAACCACAUUGCUGUGUGUAUACAAAACAAAUGCUCUACCAUUUGUUAGUGGUUCAGUGUUCCCUUGCUACUCAAGUUUAGACUUAAAUAUGCAAGAACACGCUAAACAAAUAAGUCUCAAGUGACUUUCUUGUUUAUCCUUGUCUGGUGUAAUUGUGUUGACC